rnacentral:rRNA from 1 species
UGCGGAGGGUGCGAGCGUUGUCCGGAAUCAUUGGGCGUAAAGGGCGCGUAGGUGGCCCGGUCAGUCUUUGGUGAAAGCGCGGGGCUCAACCCUGCGUCGGCCAGGGAUACUGCCGCGGCUGGAGCACUGUAGAGGCAGGCGGAAUUCCGGGUGUAGCGGUGGAAUGCGUAGAGAUCCGGAAGAACACCGGUGGCGAAGGCGGCCUGCUGGGCAGUUUGCUGACACUGAGGCGCGACAGCGUGGGGAGCAAACAGG